UGGGAACCAUAUUCCAAUCUGUAAAGCACAGUGCACUGCAUGUGGAGCAUCAAAUCAUGGAGUGGAUGAAACGGCAGAUUGACUUGGGUUAACACCAACAACUGCAGUAACUGAUUUCCACGAUAGAUGGAAAUCAGAUGAAAUCUGUGUAUAUAUAUAAUCCAAUUCCCUACUUGUGAAGUAUCGUUCUGAGAUUAAGGGUUCUAUCACCUUUGGAACAUAAGGUCUUAAACAAGUAGAAGAAUUCUUAUGUAUUACCAGUAAACACAGCCUGCACCAGGUUUUUCAGAUGGUGUUGCUGCUGUCUUUGUUGCUGGGCAGAUGGGUUCUCAGGUAUGGUCAAUUUUUUUUUAAUGCCAACUCUUGUAAUGUUAUAUGUAAAUUGUUGUUUGUGAUCCUUGUUGAAGACUAACCAUGUAUAGUUCCUACAUUUGGUAUCAAAGCUAUGGUUAGUCUACUUGGAUUCAAACUUAAUUAUCUUAACAUUUAUACCUAUAUCAUUAACUGGGAAUAUUUGCUGUACGGGGAAGAAAAUUGCCUCAACCUAGCCCCUAAUGUUAGCAUCGGUGAUUGUUGCCUUGAUUCAUGACAACAUCUAAUUCCCUACAUCGAGGCUACCUUGGUUAAUGAUGGUUUCAUUUAUUAUUUUGAGGCAUUUAUUUAUGACUAUUUUGAUUUCUUGGUUCAUGGUUGCCUCGAUAUAUUGUUGCCUAAUUCCUAAUUACAAGUUCCUGUAAUGUUUCUUGAUUGUUUAUAUAUGCAAGUACAAGUAAAAAGAUGAUUAGGUCACCAAACUUGUGAAACCCAAUCUCUGCUUAGAGAACCUGCAUGUGGCGUUCAUCUUGGUUGAAAAGACACAGAAUUAGGCAAAUUCUACAAAGAAGGGAAAUUUUGAGUGGUUUGUUUUUGUGCAAUGUUGGAUGCUUGUAAAUUUUUCUCUUCAUAAGCAUGCGUAUUUUUUUUUAUUUAUUUCAAUUUUCUUCCUUGAUCUCCUUGGGUGCAUGCAAGUAAAGUUGAAACUAAACUAUUUUCAUGCACUAAUUGAUGGUGUGUAAAUGAACAUUGCGAGAAUGUAUCUUGGUAAAAUUAUACUGCAGUGUGUGUGCUAUCUGCUGCUGUGAUUCUUCUGGUAAAGUUUCCUCGUUAAACAACAGAUUGAGUGCAUGCUCUGGGACGUGACUAAUCAAAUGAUGUUUUUCAUUAGUUUAUUAGUAUGAUUAUAUCCCAUUUAUUUAAAAUUGGAAGAUGAAGUGGCUUUAUGAUCUGCAUAUGCAGCGUGUUUGGCUGCACUGAGAAUACAUUUUUCAUCUAUUUCUGUUGUGAUCAAUAUAAUGAUCCGUAUAUUGUUGGAACUAUAUCACUUUGAGUUUUAUCCUUUUUUUUUUUUUUUUUUUUUUGGCUACUAUACUAACAGUUUGGUUUGCAGUAAAUGUUAAGAACAAUUAAGAAAAUUGUUCGAUUGCAGUAAAGGAAGAAUGGUUGUGGUUUAAAACUCAAGAAAUGUUCACAUUCUUUUCCAAAGAAGGGGAUGUAUAAAUUGUUGGUGGUUUUAAUCAGUGUAUGGCAUCAUGUAGAUCAUGCCAUAUUCUUGUCCAAAGACUUGUAAUAAUUGCAUGAUAAGAUCCUUGAAUGAUGGCUAUACAAUGAAGGUCAAUGUCAGUUUAUAUCUCUUGCCCAAAGGAUAGAUUUAAGGACUGGGAAUCUUCACGUUUUGAGAUUGUGCCGCUGCUGUGUUAUGCGGGCAGAAGCAGAUGCUGAGGUAUCACUCUAAUGCUUUCAUUCUUUCCCAUGUGUGCUGUCAGAAGCAUUCCCAUGUUGUUAAUGUUAAAGUAUAACCUUCAGACUUCUUUCCCAUGUGUGUUACACAAGUCUUUCCCAUGCGUGCUGUCAGAAGACAGCAGAUGGUGCUGCCAUAUACUUGAUAUAAUUGCAUGAAAAGAUCUUGUAAUGGUGGGUGUACAAUAAAGAAUGAAUGGUUGCUUAUAGUUUUAACUAAAGGUAUGUUAUAAGCAUGCAUUUCAACGAUUUUUCCAUGUCUUCUACCUCGGCUAUGAACCUGUGCUAUUUGUUUAUUGUGAUAAGAAAUCCUAAUGCUUUAUGCAUGUAUAAAAUUCGUAUGAUGAUUGCUACAGUUUUUCUAUAGCAUGAUUAAUUGUUCUAAUGCCAUAUGCUGCUGCCAAAGUUUUAUUCACAGCAGGAAAAGGAAUAUAUGGUUUGGAGAUUAAAACACUGUAAGCUGCGCUUUUAUCAUUCUAGAAUUGGUAGUCAUGGUUGUUUCAGAUUCACAAACGAUGAUCGAUAUCUGAUUGAAAUCUGGUAUAUGAUUGAAAUCAAUUUUUUGAUAUCUAAAUAUGUAUUGGCAAUAGGCAUUGGUGUAGAUUGUAGCUUAGUAAAUUUAUGUUGAACUUGAAUAUGGCUGGUAGGUUGCAAGGUUCCUGAUACAUGUGAAAAUAAUCUAUAAUUAUAACUUACUUGUGUAGAAAAUUGGUUUUUCAUUUGACGUUUGGAUGAUUUCUACAAUCAAAUUGAAAUGCUAAAGUUUUAUGCAGGUUUUCAACACUAAUAAUCUCUAUACUUGAACAAAUGUUUGAAUAAAUCUUCACCAAAGUGGGAAUUAUUAGGAAAUUUUGUUCAAGGGAUUAUUAAUUGAAUUUUGUGAGUGACAAUUCAUUGCAUAAGACCAAUCUUUCAAAAGAAAGAAAUAGUGAAUGGCUUGAACAGUGAUGUAGUGUGUAGUAUUUUAUAAAAGUUUAAAGUCAACUUUGAUCCCUUGUCCAAAGACAUGAUUUGAGUUGUAACUUGAAAUUUUUGUGAAAUAGCUCUGCAAAUAAGGAUGCAUGAUUAAGAUUGCAUAAUUGAUAUUUUAUGUCUCUUGCCCAAAGGUGUUACAUAAAAUUGCAUGUCAUGGUUAUUCACUCAAUGACUAGUUUAUCUGCAUAAGGCAGAAUUGAGGCUCAGUUGGAAGCAUUAGGCAAACUCAUUGGAGUUUGAUAAAGGAUCGAAUAUGAUUGUAUCAUAUUUGAUGUUGUUUCAUAUAUAUAUGCAAUGUUUGAAAUGAUGAAUUACUAAUCAAACCGAGGUUUAAUGAGCUGGUUAUUGUAAAAGGCUUAUCAUUGGAGCCAAACAAUGGCUUGACAAUGAUGUUUGGUUUGAUCAGUGGGAGUGUAAAUAAUAGACAUGUUAAAUA